AUAAUUCCUCCAAAGUAGGAAAUGUAACCUGCAACGCUCAUAAACCCCAAGGUCGGUAAUAUCAAACAACAUUGACCAAAAGAAAAUGAAAUUUUAAACCCCUAGAAUAUAUAUUAGAAUGAGUGGCUUCCAAAAGUUAGCUUCAAGUUAACAAAUCAGGGUUGCAUGUGUCUUGACGCUAGUUUUCAUUAGAUGUCCAUGUGAUAUGCAAGUUAAUCAACACUGAAGAAGAGAAGAUAAGAUAAGAGUAGAGGAUAAAGAAAUAGGUUUUGGUAACAUAACCUAUUUUCUUUACAAAACAUCGAAAACAUCUUCCCUAGCCUUCAGGACAACCCGGGCUGAAAAAGUGGAGGUUGUUCGGCCACCAACAACCAAACGUUGGUCACCAUCUUGCAACCGAACAUUCUCCAAACUUUCAUUUUGGUUGUCAAAGAUUGAAAUUGUCCGACAGUUUUUCCACCAUCUCUCCUAAAACCAAUUGGUUUUAGCGAGGGCUUCAAUUAAGUUUUUUACGGCAUUCGACAUUGCACCCGCAAGUCUGUUUUUAGAGCGGUCGCAGAGAGUGACAUUAUGUAACUAAAUCCAUAAGGGCGCUCCGGGCCCAACAAAAAUGAACAUGAAUAUGGGUUUUGAAAUAGCACAAUGGUGAGCAUCAGAUGUUAAUUUGUUGUUAUUCUGCUGUGGGUGAAGGCAAAAGGGAGGAGGGUGGGUACUGAGAAAUUAAGAGAUACUUUUGGAAUUCAUAAAAUUUAAAUGUGUUUUCAUACAGAGUAAUUAUAAAUUAAUUUCUCUCUUCACGUAUUUAUGUAUGCACAUUAAAUCAAGGUACUGCUACAAUAAUACCCUUAGAAAGUUAGCAUAGAUAUUAAACAGAUUGAAUAACAUACAAAAAAACAUGCUACAAUAUCGAUCGAAAGGAAAAUUGCUAAAUCUGUUGUGAAGUGGUAAACAAAAUUGGAUGAUAAGCUUGAUAAAUGAGUGGGCCUUGGUGUUAGUUGGAGAGACAAGAGGUAGUGGAAUUGAUCAAAAUGGAUGAGGUCAAACCCAGUAGGCUGCCCUGCUGCAUUUCGAUGGGAGUAAGUGAGAGUGAGAGAGAGAGAGAGCGCCAAUUAUACAUCUAUGUAUCUAGUGAAUGUAAUUUCUCUGGGAAAUUAAGAGAGAGAUCGAGAGAGAGCGCCCCCCACCGGUGAGA